rnacentral:lncRNA from 1 species
GCCAGUUAAUGAUGAAUGAACCUCUCCUAAUUUAGCUAAUGAUAAAUAAUAGCAUAUAAACAGUUUACAUUCUACAUUUCAUCAUCACAUCAACCUGAAGAGAAUGUUAUUAUUAUCACCAUUUUACUUAUGAGGAAACUGAGGAUUAAUAAACUGGAGGAAUUCCAUGUGAACUGGAAUAACUUCCAGGAAUUAAUGCAGAGCGAAAGGAGCAGAACCAGGAGAACAUUGUAACGAGAGGUUCACUGUGGUACAAUCGAAAGUAAUGGCCUUCUCCAUUAGUGGCAAUGCAGUGAUCCUGAACAACCUGGAGGGAUCUACAGAAAGAACACUAUCCACAUUCAGAGUUUUGGACUUUUUUUUUUUCCUGAAUGGCCUUUUACUCUGCUCUUCUGAUUAUCUGGAUGAGGCUGAUGGAAUAUUAAUGAACCCUGAGACCAGAUUUUCCCCAGCUGCCAGCAGAAGCUGAAGCUAAAGGUGUGGAGGCUGAAGAGAGGAAAACCCACUCUACUUUGCUUCAAAAUGUACAAAUAUAAGUCCUGUGGAAGAGAAUUCAAUAGGUUGCAACAGACAAAAGCUGGCUCUUUACCCAUCAGAAUUUUCUCAGCUCAGUAAACAUUCAACUAACAGCUGCAGGCACAGAACAAAGGAACAAUAGGCCUGGCAAUCCCUUCAAAGGUGAAAAUGUCACUGAAUGUCAUUGAAGGUCCAUGGCAUGAAGCAUCUUUUUUUUCUGCUCUUUUUCUUCAACUUGUUAGACUGGGCUUUUUGAAAUACUUUCAACUCUGAUAGAAUCUGAAGAUAGACUUCACCCACCAUCAAUUUCUAUUAAAAGCUGGAUGGGGUGUGUGUGAACUAAGAUCUGGAAGAAAAAAGGAAGAAAAACCUCCCGUGAUUUCUUCUCAUUUCAAAUUAGUUUUGAAAUAUUGUUUUAAUAAAUAGCAUUAUGAUUGAAUUUGAUUGACCUUU